GAUGAAGAACGUAGUGAAAUGCGAUAAGUAAUGCGAAUUGCAGAAUUCAGUGAGUCAUCGAAUCUUUGAACGCACAUUGCGCCCCCUGGUAUUCCGGGGGGCAUGCCUGUCCGAGCGUCAUUGCUGCCCUCAAGCACGGCUUGUGUGUUGGGCCUCCGUCCUCCUCCCGGGGGACGGGCCCGAAAGGCAGCGGCGGCACCGCGUCCGGUCCUCGAGCGUAUGGGGCUUCGUCACCCGCUCUUGUAGGCCCGGCCGGCGCUUGCCGACACAUCAAUCUUUUUUCCAGGUUGACCUCGGAUCAGGUAGGGAUACCCGCUGAACUUAAGCAUAUCAAUAAGCGGAGGA
rnacentral:misc_RNA from 1 species